AUCCUACAAAAAGUUCUGAAAUGUGUACCCCUUCUAACCCAAAAACACUUUAUCCUUGUUUUUAUGAGUUCCUGAGGAGAUUGGUGGACACGGAUCUGGACUCCCCCCCCUCCCCUCACUGCUCCUCCAGCCUUCGUGAGCCCGCAGUCUCCUCAGCAGGAAGCAGCACAGGCAAACUUUCCUCGGCUUGACAACAGCCCACCAGGAGGGAAGCCAGAUUCAACCUCCAACACCAGCCAGACGACCUUUUCACCUACUGUGACCCGCUCGCAGGCUCAACAAAGACGGGCCUUGCUCAGAGAAGGAAAACAGGCGUUGUUUGAUCCUGCAGCUUCUUUUCCAGUCGAGGGGGCGCAAGGGCCGAUGCUGGUUCUCAGACCCUGGUCAGAUACCAAUGUGACCAAGGCAAUGAGCCACGUCUGCAGUCCUAAGGACAAUCUUGCUAAGUGGGAGACUGAUCUUCAGCAAUUUGUCAGAAAAUACCAUCCUAGAAUGGCUGCUCGCCUUAAAGAUCCUGAUUGUGAGCACGGCACAGAUGUGGACAUUAGAAGUGCUGUAGAUGCUCUCAUUGUGUUGGGAAAAGAACAAUUUCCUCUGAGACUGAACCUCCCCACUGUCAUCUCUAUGACACAAGGGCCACAAGAAACAUGCAGCUCCUUCCUGGCUCGCCUGACGACAGCUUUUGACAUCCGCAGUGGCCUUAAGCGACCUGAUCCAAUGGGCCACAGGCAGUGCUGUAGUGGUAAAAUUAGAGUGCCAACAAUUUCGUGGAAGAGGAAGAGGUUAUGGAAGAGCUCGUGGCAGAUCUGACUUACGGGAAUCAAGCGUGUGUUGUGGACAACAAGGACAUUGGCGAGCAGAGUGUCCUGAGCACAUGAGGAUGAGACACAUCACACGUCUGACUGAGGGAGGCAGAGGGAGGGGCGGACCCCAGAGACGGAUCACCCUACCACGAUGAGAAAAUCUUGGGCGGUUCGUGGACGGCUCCGCUUCUCGCUCACCCGAAACAGGCGGCGGCCAGGAAACAGGGGAGCGGAUGCAGCGGCAAAGAAGGCAGCCUCACAGGGCUUCCUUUUCCCCUUCACUCAAAUGCUUUCCACACCGACCGAUCCUAGUCCUUAUGCCGAUCUUCCCACACUUCAGUCGCUUGCCGGUGCACAGGAGCGUUCCCUGUGGAAACGAUCUGGUGCCAUUCUUGAGGGCGGAAACUGAACAGGGCCAGACAGUGGGCCUUGCUUGCCACAUGCUCUCUUCCACAUUUAUGCUAAGUUGUCUCACGGAAGAGAUCACGUGGGCAAAGGGGAGAUGUGCACUGCUUUUAACUUUAGUUUAAUUAGUUUAAUUUUAACUAAUUAUUUGAAUACAGUUUAUACUAAAGUGUAAACAGUCAAAUGCUCGAACAGAUCCCGGAUCCAGGAGACAAAGGAGCACCUCCAUCUGGUUCCGGUUAAGGGGUUGCAGGGUGGAGAGCCCUCCCCCACUGCAGUGUUCCAAGACACCGACGAGCCCGGUAGAGAUGGCAGAGACAGCAAGGACGGCAGCCACCUGGAGAACAGCGAUAAAAGACAGAUCUCCAGCGCCAAAGAACACUUAGGAAGCAUAGUUGGAGCCUGAGAAUGAACAUGUGCAUAUCACUGACGCUGGCCACAUUUGUGCUGAUUCCCCUCACGAUCAAUGAACUACAACCUCCUUAUGUGAACAUCACAGAUUCCAGCCUUCUCCACUUCUCCAAUAGAGAAUUUCAGGAAGGGAAAAUAAGUUUCCACUGUCCAGCAAAACAAUGCGACGAGACAGAGUGUUUGCUCUACACAAUCGAACAUGAUGCAUGGGUUAAAAUAGAAAGUCACGUAGUUGAAGUUGUGUGUGUUCCCGGGGUAAGAAGAAAUAGAGUAUGUACUGUGUGGGUGCACGGAACAUUUGAUUUAGCAGAUCCACCAUUCUGGUGCAGUAAACCACGAUCGGGUCAGGAGAUACCAGCCUACACUGGCUCCAGCAACUGGAGGGAGACGUUCAAAAGAACUUAUCAUCCUGUCAGUGAGACACAGCCUAAAACAGUACCACCUGAAAUAAUUUACGAAGCCGGUAAACCACAGGCCAUGACCUCCCGCAGGCCAGAACAGCCCCCCACUAAAGCAACUUGGAGGCAAAGGUUGAUUUCUUUCAAAUGUCAAAAGGGGGGUGUGGGAAGGAGGGUUGUAAAGCUUACAUGUUACGGCUGAGCACGCCGCACUUAGGUCACUGGUCAGUCCUGAACUCAGAGGACUUUAGGACAAACAACACUUGCACAGUGACUCUAAGUCGUAAAUAUGACACGAGUUGGGAAUACCCGUUCUGGUGCGCUCAACUUGCAGACUGUACGACGGAGCCAGCCCACUUUCACUCAGCUAGAUUGGCAGUAUGCAUUCAAAGUAAGCCUUCAGUUAAGAGAACUUCCAACCCGUAUACCACCGUAAGAGCAUGACAAUAUUGCGUUGACUAUUAUGAAUGAGUUUGCCAAUGAAAGGAAUGUCUCUAAUUGUUGGAUAUGUCAGCAUAUGCCCAUUUCAUCUAG
ensembl:lncRNA